GAUGAACGCUGGUGGCGUGCCUAAUACAUACAAGUCGAGCGAACAGACGAGGAGCUUGCUCCUCUGACGUUAGCGGCGGACGGGUGAGUAACACGUGGAUAACCUACCUAUAAGACUGGGAUAACUUCGGGAAACCGGAGCUAAUACCGGAUAAUAUAUUGAACCGCAUGGUUCAAUAGUGAAAGACGGUUUUGCUGUCACUUAUAGAUGGAUCCGCGCCGCAUUAGCUAGUUGGUAAGGUAACGGCUUACCAAGGCAACGAUGCGUAGCCGACCUGAGAGGGUGAUCGGCCACACUGGAACUGAGACACGGUCCAGACUCCUACGGGAGGCAGCAGUAGGGAAUCUUCCGCAAUGGGCGAAAGCUUGACGGAGCAACGCCGCGUGAGUGAUGAAGGUCUUCGGAUCGUAAAACUCUGUUAUUAGGGAAGAACAAAUGUGUAAGUAACUAUGCACGUCUUGACGGUACCUAAUCAGAAAGCCACGGCUAACUACGUG
rnacentral:rRNA from 1 species